rnacentral:rRNA from 1 species
CCUACGGGUGGCAGCAGUGAGGAAUAUUGGUCAAUGGACGAGAGUCUGAACCAGCCAAGUAGCGUGAAGGAUGACUGCCCUAUGGGUUGUAAACUUCUUUUAUAUGGGAAUAAAACAGGGUAUGCAUACCCUCUUGUAUGUACCAUAUGAAUAAGGAUCGGCUAACUCCGUGCCAGCAGCCGCGGUAAUACGGAGGAUCCGAGCGUUAUCCGGAUUUAUUGGGUUUAAAGGGAGCGUAGGUGGGUUGUUAAGUCAGUUGUGAAAGUUUGCGGCUCAACCGUAAAAUUGCAGUUGAAACUGGCAGUCCUGAGUACAGUUGAGGUAGGCGGAAUUCGUGGGGUAGCGGUGAAAUGCUUAGAUAUCACGAAGAACUCCGAUUGCGAAGGCAGCUUACUGGACUGCCACUGACACUGAUGCUCGAAAGUGUGGGUAUCAAACAGGAUUAGAUACCCCUGUAGUC